CUGCAGAGGGUUCAUCACGAGGCGGGGUUGGGAAGCUCGUGAGCAAAGUGUACAAGAGGUUGUCCUCCAGGAAGAAUAAGGGUGUUGAACCGUCAAAAUAUACUCCAUCAGCGUAUAAGUAGCAAUUUUUCAGGAAGUCGGGCAGUGAAGAAUGAGGGUGGAAUUGUCCCAGGCAUGAUGGUGGAGUUGCUCGAAUUGAUGUAACUGAUUGUGCAUUUGUUGCAUAUGACAUGAUAUUUGGAUAUGUAUGUUAUGGUUUGGUGCUCAAAUUCAUGUUAUUUAUGUUUA